UAUGCACUUCCUCUCUCUUUCUCUCCACCUUUUUGUUUGGCCUAAAUUCCUCUCUCUAACUUACCAGAUUUUCUGCCGUUGUUUUACAUUUGUUUUCCACAAAAGCUGUUUUGCAUUCAAGUUUUACAGUGGGUCUGCCGUUAGAGAUAUCCACAAUGGCAGACAAUCAUCUGGACAAAGAUGCAGGAUACAUUGAAAAUCAGCAACAAAACAUUGCUGAUGCCAUUGAUUUGCUUCCUAGACUAGCAACUGGGAUUGAUGUAAAUGUAAAAUUCAGGAGAAUUGCUGAUUUUGAAUUUACUCUGGGAUGUGCAAUGUUUGAUCUACUAGACAUUCCACUCUACUAUGGUUGGAUAGUUGACCCCAG